rnacentral:rRNA from 1 species
UCGGGAAUAUUGGACAAUGGGCGCAAGCCUGAUCCAGCCAUGCCGCGUGAGUGAUGAAGGCCUUAGGGUUGUAAAGCUCUUUUACCAGGGAUGAUAAUGACAGUACCUGGAGAAUAAGCUCCGGCUAACUCCGUGCCAGCAGCCGCGGUAAUACGGAGGGAGCUAGCGUUGUUCGGAAUUACUGGGCGUAAAGCGUACGUAGGCGGUGACUCAAGUCAGAGGUGAAAGCCUGGAGCUCAACUCCAGAACUGCCUUUGAAACUAGGUCGCUAGAAUCACGGAGAGGUGAGUGGAAUUCCGAGUGUAGAGGUGAAAUUCGUAGAUAUUCGGAAGAACACCAGUGGCGAAGGCGGCUCACUGGACGUGUAUUGACGCUGAGGUACGAAAGCGUGGGGAGCAAACAGGAUUAGAUACCCGCGUAGUCCCUGAGCGGGCUGGCAAGGCGCAU